GGAGAGGUGGGAGAGUGGCUGAUUCCAGCUGCCUGCUAAGCAGUUGUACCUCAAAAGGGUACCGAGGGUUCGAAUCCCUCCCUCUCCG
rnacentral:tRNA from 1 species